AUUGAACGCUGGCGGUAUGCGUUACACAUGCAAGUCGAACGGCAGCACGGGGCAACCUGGUGGCGAGUGGCGAACGGGUGAGUAACAUAUCGGAACAUGUCCGGAAGUGGGGGAUAACGUAGCGAAAGUUACGCUAAUACCGCAUAUGCCCCGAGGGGGAAAGGGGGGGAUCGCAAGACCUCUCGCUUUCGGAGUGGCCGAUAUCGGAUUAGCUAGUAGGUGGGGUAAAGGCCCACCUAGGCGACGAUCCGUAGCUGGUCUGAGAGGACGACCAGCAACCGUGGAACGGGGACACGGUCCAGACUCCUACGGGAGGCAGCAGUGGGGAAUUUUGGACAAUGGGCGCAAGCCUGUUCCAGCCAUACCGCGUGAGUGAAGAAGGCCUUCGGGUUGUAAAGCUCUUUCAGACGGAAAGAAACGGUCGCGGCGAAUACCCGCGACUAAUGACGGUACCGUAAGAAGAAGCACCGGCUAACUACGUGCCAGCAGCCGCCGUAACAC
rnacentral:rRNA from 1 species